rnacentral:ribozyme from 1 species
UUGUGAGAAAGAAGAAAUAAGCGAAGAAAUAUGAAAAAAAAGGUUGGGGAAGGAAGAGGAAGAAAACAAUGAAAUGUGACGAGUGGGUUUCUUGGUCCUCGUCUUUUGUUUCAAUUCCUGCUUC